ACCUGCCCUCCAGCCACUGCCAAGGCAACCUCGCGCGUGAGGCGUCGGGCGACCGAGCGCGCGGGAAGGGCGAGCGCUAUACGCCGCGCGGCUGCCUCGCCCUCUCUCCUGGUGAUAGCCAUUUGGCGUCUUCUGUCUGCUCUCGGUGCCUGGCGAAGCCCGAGUUGGCCCUGAGGCGUCUGCACGGGGAGGCGAGGGCGAGCAUGUUUGUUGUUUACCAAGAAUUGGAAAAAUAAGGGCCCGGACUCUUCGGACUCUCUGUACGGUAUUGGGGUGUGGGAGCCACCUCCUCCCCUGAAGGUCCCAGGAUACUCGCUGCCCGCACCCUGCGGGCUCGGCCGGACAUUCCUCGGAAACAGCUGCGUCUGUGUGAGAAAUGAGCGGAUUACCUGAGGCGUGGAGGGGUUUAGAGACAGCAUUUUGCCAGUCCACGACACUGAAGCGGGGCAAACGUGGGAACUCCUUACUGCCAGAAAGGUGAGGGAAUGAGGAGAUGCAGCAAGCCUGCUGAAAAGGCGGCAGACAUGCUGCGGGGCCAGCAGCCACGGGACCAGCAGCCACGCAGUCUGCCUUCGCAGCGUAGCUUCAUUCAUUCAUGCGCGUAGCAAAUAAGUAUUCAAUGCUCACCCUAUGCCAUUGUUCUGGGCGUCAAUGAAGGGAGUAUAAACAGCACCUGCUCCCAUGGAUUUGGAAGGAAUCUUUGCUACAAUAGCUAAUGAAGAUUGACUUGUGCUUCCUCAAGCUACUCUAUAACUUGUAUGCCCAUUGAUUUUAAUUGCAUUUAAGAUUCUGCAGUGCACUUAGUGGAUGUGCAAACGUUUUAAACAUAAAAUAGAGGUCACAGCCUAUUGACCUCUGUUCCCGUUUGCUUCUUUGGAAAAGUUUUUAGUUUUGUUGCUAUCUUGGGAUCAAAAAUAGUGUCCCCUCUUUUCUUAAUGUGCUUAUAAAUUAAUAUAAGUUCCCUUUUAUUGAUUUUCCAUUUCAAACAUAAAUGUUAACCAACAAGUAACAGUUUACACAUAGAUGUCUGUAUGCUGCUCUUUCUAGUCACAUCCAUUUAGCUAUAACAUGAUGAAGUCUAAUUAAUUGAAGCUUCAAUAAAUGGAAGGACCAGCUUAAAGUAAAAUAAGCCUGUGAAAAAUCUUGGCACAAUUGAAAUUUCAUAAAUAUCUGUGAAAGAUAAUUAGGCAUCUUAAAGUGAAAAGUCUUCAUUAUGAACUUAUUAAUGAAGAUGGAUGUUUUUGAAGUUUGAAAGAAUUCUUGUCUUAAGGUAGGGGUGUCCCCAAGGAGAGGGUAAAUUAUUACCUGUCAAAGGAUAUGACAAGAAAGUACUUACUGGUGAAUUUUCUGUGUUCGAAAGCCUGGCUCUGUAGAACUAGAAAUUGGUAUUGUAAGCCCAACAGUGGGUUCAUUUUUUAGAGUAGUCUCAAAUUUAUAAAUCUCAAAAAAAAGGAACUGUGUAAACUAGAAUAACAAUUUACUGAUUUUCAAGUAAGAAAUACGACAUGCAUUUAAUUCAAACUCAUGCAAAUAUUUAUGAAGCACCUAUGUCCAGGACACUGUGCUAUGUGUUGAAAAUUUGGAGUUCAAAUUUAUCAAGAAAGAUAUAUAUUGAAAAAGUAAAAGUAGGAUGGGUGUUAAGAAAGAGGAAGUAUGGGAGCUUGUAGAAGCACGCACGAGGUUUAUAACCUAGGUUAGAUGGUCAGGAAGAUCUCCAAAAUGAUUUUAUCUUAAGGGAAUGAGAAAUUAUUAAAAAGGCUUUAAAUAGGAAAUUAGCAUGAUCAGAUUUGUCGGCUAGAAUAUUUGUGUAAUCGGAAAGGGUAAUGUUUCAAGAAGUGUAUUAAUGUCACUUUCUGGGUAUACAACUUAAUCAAUCCAAGGCACCUUUCUGCUGAGGAUUUGGAUUCUUGUAUAAAAAAUACAAAAGAAAUAUUUACUUUUUAACUUUCGAUAUUAAAUAUAGGAUUUUUUAAAUCGAGUUUUUAGGCUUCAAAUCGAGGCAUUGUCAAGACAUAAAAUGUAAAUUUGUUUAUGGUUCAACAUAUCAAGGCUAGGCCUGGUGGACCAAAUGAUAGGGUUUCUCCCAUAGUAAAGACAAGGUAUCUUAGUCCAGUAUGAAGGAUUUAGUCAGAGAUUGAUAUAAGGAAGGUGGUGGCUAUGAAGUAGGUAAAGUAGAAGAAAAUCCUAUUCUCUUUGGCUUGGAGAAUUACGGGAAAGGGGUAGAAGAGCUCAAGAAAGACACCAGAAACAUUUUUACUGUUCCCACCCUGAAGAUGUAGGGUGAGGGGUUGUGGCUUUAGAAAUAUCCAGAUUGGUGUGGGAAAACUCAAGGACAGAGAAAUUACUUUCCCAAUUCUCAGAUAUCUGGGAAGAUAUCAGGCUGAGCAGGAACCACAUUCCAGUAACCUUGAACAGGGCGGAGACAGGGUAGGCAUUGACUUUCCAGAGUGCUGUAAGUUUCUAUGUACUGUUGAGACUCAGAAAACAAUACUCCCCUCCUCCC
rnacentral:lncRNA from 1 species